UACGUAGGGUGCAAGCGUUGUCCGGAAUUAUUGGGCGUAAAGGGCGCGUAGGUGGCCCGGUCAGUCAGUGGUGAAAGCGCGGGGCUCAACUCCGCGUCGGCCAUUGAUACUGCGGGGCUGGAGCACUGUAGAGGCAGGCGGAAUUCCGGGUGUAGCGGUGGAAUGCGUAGAGAUCCGGAAGAACACCGGUGGCGAAGGCGGCCUGCUGGGCAGUUGCUGACACUGAGGCGCGACAGCGUGGGGAGCAAACAGG
rnacentral:rRNA from 1 species